ACUUCUAUGUGUAACCAGGUAGUCUAUAGGUCUACUUCUAUGUGUAACCAGGUAGUCUAUAGGUCUACUUCUAUGUGUAACCAGGUAGUCUAUAGGUCUACUUCUAUGUGUAACCAGGUAGUCUAUAGGUCUACUUCUAUGUGUAACCAGGUAGUCUAUAGGUCUACUUCUAUGUGUAACCAGGUAGUCUAUAGGUCUACUUCUAUGUGUAACCAGGUAGUCUAUAGGUCUACUUCUAUGUGUAACCAGGUAGUCUAUAGGUCUACUUCUAUGUGUAACCAGGUAGUCUAUAGGUCUACUUCUAUGUGUAAUCAGGUAGUCUAUAGGUCUACUUCUAUGUGUAACCAGGUAGUCUAUAGGUCUACUUCUAUGUGUAACCAGGUAGUCUAUAGGUCUACUGCUAUGUGUGCUCGUUCUUACUCAACAUUCACAAGAGCGCUCCAAACUAAAGACAAUGACUAAAUUGAAUUGAAUUGAAAAAAACUCGUAGAUGGAAUGAAAUAAACCAAAUCCUUGUGUUCCACAAGUUGUGCUCUCUGCUAACAACGUGUCCACUCCGACAAGGAGAACAGGAAAAGGAAUAAUAAUAAUAUAUUGAAUUCAUAACAGAAAUGACUUAACCAAACAAACAUUGUUGAUUCGAAAUGAUAGGAAUUAACAGCACAUGUACCACUGGUGAUGGACUACAGAGGGCAGUGCAGGCGGCCCAGGACAUCACUGUGGCCAAGCUUCCUGCUGUCCAGGACCUCUCCAC